rnacentral:tRNA from 1 species
GCCCUCGUAGCCCAACGGUAGAGGCGACGGUCUGAGGGGCCGUACAGUGGCGGGUUCGAAUCCCUCCGAGGGCA